AGCUUUGCGCAGUGGCAGUAUCGUAGCCAAUGAGGUUUAUCCGAGGCACGAUUAUUGCUAAUUAAAAAAUAGGGUCUAGAACAAUAUGAAUAAAAUAUACACAUCACAGAGGACAUAAGGAUAUUAAAAAUAGUUGCCUAU
ensembl:snRNA U4 U4 spliceosomal RNA